UACGUAGGGGGCUAGCGUUGUCCGGAAUCAUUGGGCGUAAAGCGCGUGUAGGCGGCCCGGUAAGUCCGCUGUGAAAGUCGGGGGCUCAACCCUCGGAAGCCGGUGGAUACUGUCGGGCUCGAGUACGGAAGAGGCGAGUGGAAUUCCUGGUGUAGCGGUGAAAUGCGCAGAUAUCAGGAGGAACACCGGUGGCGAAGGCGGGUCUCUGGGCCGAUACUGACGCUGAGGAGCGAAAGCGUGGGGAGCGAACAGG
rnacentral:rRNA from 1 species